GUUUACAGUGGAGCAGCCCGACAGGUUAAUAAAAACUUGCUUGCCCGACUCUGGGGUCUACUCGUUCCUUCUCUUGGCUAACCCUACAUUUUGGUGCCAAAACCCGGGAAGGGCCACUCUCCCCUUCCUGAACCUGCCAAAGACCUGGAGGAUUUAUUGGACACUCCCAUUGUUGGCAACUUCAUUCAUCACUAGAGUCUACACAGGGUUUUUACAGGACCACAUCAAAACCUUCACCCAUGGAACAGUGCGAGGUAUACUGCUGCUUCAAGCAUACCAGCGGCUUCAAGAACAACCAUCCCAAGCCCCCCAAGCCUUUCCCCUUGCACACCGCCCCUCUACAGCUAGAAGCAGUCAGAUGAUAAAGUCACUCCUCUUCCUUUAUCACCUAUUAAAGGCUGGAAUGUUAGAGAGCCAAGCUACCCCUCCUCCUCCUCCAUGACCUUUGCAAUACGGUCCUUUGUGACCACCUACAAACACCUCCCCACUUUUUCUACAGCCACUUCUGCAAGACUUUCAGUAGAACUGGUAAACAGUUCCAGGAUGUGGUUAAGACAUCUGCCCACCUUGCCUAGCCAAGCUUGCCUAGCCAAGCAGGCAAAAACAUUUCCAGGAAAUGGUUGAAACACCUGCAACUCUACUCAGUUUCCCCCACCCCAACCUAGCACCUUGCCCUAUAAAACCCCACAGCAGCCUGUAAGCGGGGCUACCUCCUCCACAGUGGAGCAGCCCAGCAGGUUAAUAAAAACUUGCUUGCCUGACUUUGGGGUCUCCUUGUUCCUUCUCUUGGCUAACCUUACGCUUACUUUAAGUUUACAUGAGUCCUUGUGUGUUAAAUGAGUCUCCUGAAGGCAGCAGAUGGUUGGUGAGUUCUUACCCAUUCUGCAGUUCUGUGUCUUUUAAGUGAAGCAUUUAGGCCAUU
rnacentral:lncRNA from 1 species